rnacentral:tRNA from 1 species
GAGCCCUUAUUAUAAUUAAGUAUGUGACUUUUUCGAGGUUUUGGUUUUGGGCUUA